AUUGAACGCUGGCGGCAGGCCUAACACAUGCAAGUCGAACGAGUGGCGGACGGGUGAGUAAUGUCUGGGAAACUGCCUGAUGGAGGGGGAUAACUAAUGGAAACGGUAGCUAAUACCGCAUACCAUCGGAUGUGCCCAGAUGGGAUUAGCUAGUAGGUGGGGUAACGGCUCACCUAGGCGACGAUCCCUAGCUGGUCUGAGAGGAUGACCAGCCACACGGGAACUGAGACACGGUCCAGACUCCUACGGUAGGCAGCAGUGGGGAAUAUUGCACAAUGUGCGCAAGCCUUAUGCAGACAUGCCGCGGGUAUGAGGAAGGCCUUCGGGUUGUAAGGUACUUUCAGCGGGAAGGCGUUACCCGCAGAAUAAGCACCGGCUAACCCCGUGCCAGCAGCCGCGGUAAUUC
rnacentral:rRNA from 1 species